CUGCAAUUUCACUGCCUGGAGCCAAAGUUGUACUGCAUAGACGAGAAGCCUUCAGUGCCUUGUUGUUUAUUCUGGAGAAAUGGGCUGGAUUUGCUGAUGGCUUCAUCACGUCAUGCUUCACACUUCUGGAGUCGUUACAUCCUUCACCAGACUGGUUGCUGAGUUCACAUGGGUGCUGUGCUUGUUACUGUGGAGUUAGUCAAGUGUUCAGGGGAGUCUGACUGGAAGGAGAAAGUAUCAUCUGGAAUUUUCUCUCUGUAAGAUCUGAGAAACUGCUGCACCAGAUGUUCAUACAAUGUCUGCUCUUUCUGACUGUCUCUCUAUAUUUAACCAUUACACCUCCAAAUUAUGCUUUUGCUGCAGUAACACAUUUCGUGAUGAUGGAAGGAAUUACAGCCUUGAAGCUAAAAAGCUAUAAUUGUCUUUGACCAGACCUGCAUAUAGAGCAGAAGAUUUCUGGAAACAGCACUGUCUUCAUCCUCAGAGUUUUCUCAUCCAUCCAAAACCAAAUAAUCCUGCACUUUAGCAGGCAUGAGAAUGUUUUUCAUUCAUUUCACAUUUAUUCUGCCAUGUAUAAUACAUACUGAUGGCAUCUCACUCAUCACUAGAGAGCACUGUGGAAGAACAGAAUACGAAAGCAUACAGGUAAACUUCUGCUCUUGCACAUAAAGAUUGAAAUUCAGCUGAGAAUGACUCCCAUGAGCCCUGGAGAAAAGUAGCAUGCAUUCUGCUUGUUCACACCUUGAGAUGGACAUCACACUGGAGGGUACAGAAUGGGAAACCUCCACAAGGACAAAUCUUUCAGAGACCUUUCAAAAGCAACACUCUUUUCCAGAAGUAUGCUCUUAUCCAUAUUUUAUUUGCCCCAGUACUUGCAGCCUGAACUUCACUCAGUGGACAAGCAGAGGAAGGAUGCGGAAGAAUACAGAUUGCUUUUUUAAAUCCCCGCAAGUCUGUGGUUUGUCUCCAAACCAGACUGCAAGGAAGCACUAUGUGCAUUAGUGAGUGCUUGAUUUUUUUUCUAAGAAUACACCCCUGUUAGUAAUAGAAAAAUGUAAUCCCUUGUAUAGUUUCCUAUCAACAGCUUGCCUCUGUCAAAAAUCUGCUGCCCUGCAGAAGUCAUUGGUAACCACUCUGACACAGAAGCUGGCAGUUCUGACAGCCAGUCUACCUCCCUCUGG
rnacentral:lncRNA from 1 species